rnacentral:rRNA from 1 species
UACGAAGGGGGCUAGCGUUGUUCGGAAUUACUGGGCGUAAAGCGCGUGUAGGCGGGUCUUUUAAGUCAGGGGUGAAAUCCCACGGCUCAACCGUGGAAGUGCACUCGAAACUGCGCGCUAGAGUCCUGGAGAGGAAGGUGGAAUGCUUGGUGUAGAGGUGAAAUUCGUAGAUAUCAAGCGGAACACCGGUGGCGAAGGCGGCCUUCUGGACAGUGACUGACGCUGAGAUGCGAAAGCGUGGGGAGCAACAGG